AACGCGAAGAACCUUACCCAGGCUUGACAUGCAGUGGACAGUGCUAGAAAUAGCAUCUUCCUUCGGGACCGCUGCACAGGUGCUGCAUGGCUGUCGUCAGCUCGUGCCGUGAGGUGUUUGGUUAAGUCCAGCAACGAGCGCAACCCUUAUCAUUAGUUGCCAACACGUGAAGGUGGGAACUCUAAUGAGACUGCCUGGGUUAACCAGGAGGAAGGUGAGGAUGACGUCAAGUCCGCAUGGCCCUUAUGUCUGGGGCAACACACGUGCUACAAUGGUCGGUACAGAAGGCAGCAAAACCGCAAGGCGGAGCAAAUCCCCAAAGCCGGCCUCAGUUCAGAUUGUAGUCUGCAACUCGACUACAUGAAGAUGGAAUUGCUAGUAAUGGCAGGUCAGCACACUGCCGUGAAUACGUUCCCGGGCCUUGUACACACCGACGCAC
rnacentral:rRNA from 1 species